rnacentral:rRNA from 1 species
UGGGGAAUAUUGCACAAUGGGCGCAAGCCUGAUGCAGCCAUGCCGCGUGUGUGAAGAAGGCCUUCGGGUUGUAAAGCACUUUCAGCGAGGAGGAAGGUGGUGGACUUAAUACGUUCAUCAAUUGACGUUACUCGCAGAAGAAGCACCGGCUAACUCCGUGCCAGCAGCCGCGGUAAUACGGAGGGUGCAAGCGUUAAUCGGAAUUACUGGGCGUAAAGCGCACGCAGGCGGUUUGUUAAGUCAGAUGUGAAAUCCCCGGGCUCAACCUGGGAACUGCAUUUGAAACUGGCAAGCUAGAGUCUCGUAGAGAGGGGUAGAAUUCCAGGUGUAGCGGUGAAAUGCGUAGAGAUCUGGAGGAAUACCGGUGGCGAAGGCGGCCCCCCUGGACGAAGACUGACGCUCAGGUGCGAAAAGGCGUGGGGCAGCAAAACAGGAUUAGAUACCCUGGUAGUCCACGCUGUAAAACGA